AAAACCUCCCUUCUCUUUUCUUUCGCAGGGAAACCGAGACCUCCAAUUUUUUCCUCCUUGCGUGAACACCCUUCCCUAGCCCUAGCUCCGCCGUCGCCCUUCGCCGCCCGCUCGCUGUUCGUCAUCACUGGAAUCGUCUUCAGUCGUACCGCCGUGAGUCGCCAGCCUCGCGCCGCUGCUCGUCCCUCGCACAAUCGUGACCGCGCCGCCCAUUCGCGUUUCCAGUGACCACAAUCGGAGCUCUACUCCAUUGUUUACGCACAGAUCGAGUCGUUAUCGCCUCCAAUCGGUCACCGCCAUUGUCGGCCUUCACGUCUGAGGUGCAGCACCAGCCGCCGACACUGUCUACAGAUCUCAGGCAGCAGAUUUUCGCGGGGAUAGCCAGAUCUGCGUGUGGGUACCUCCGUUCAGGUUCGUCGGGGCUUUUAUUGUCGUCUUUGCGCGGGCGUUGCCUUCAUCCUAAUGGGUUCUGACCGAAGGUUCCAUUUGGGUGUUUUAGUCGUGGAUUGAAGAGCGGAAGUAAAUAUUCAGUUGCUGUCUAGCAAGUUUGAGACCAAUUUCACUAAGCUUUUGGUCGGGCCACUAGAUUGAAGUCUUGAAGGGAUUUUGGGGAGUCAUGUGUUGGGUAAUCUUACUAUUGGAACUGUCUUUGUACCAGGCGAUAAACUGUAGAUUUAAUAUUGAGGAUCAACUGUUUUCGAGGAUAAUUUUGAUUAUUCUGAGGUCGAAUGGACUGUUUAGGAAGGAUAUAUGAGCAUGUGGUAAUAUAUCUGAAUAUGAUUAUAUAUGAGCUUGAUUUAGAAUUUUAUGAGUUAUAUUAAAA